UACGAAGGGGGGCUAGCGUUGCUCGGAAUCACUGGGCGUAAAGGGCGCGUAGGCGGCGUUUUAAGUCGGGGGGUGAAAGCCUGUGGCUCAACCACAGAAUGGCCUUCGAUACUGGGACGCUUGAGUAUGGUAGAGGUUGGUGGAACUGCGAGUGUAGAGGUGAAAUUCGUAGAUAUUUCGCAAGAACACCGGUGGCGAAGGCGGCCAACUGGACCAUUACUGACGCUGAGGCGCGAAAGCGUGGG
rnacentral:rRNA from 1 species